rnacentral:rRNA from 1 species
CACGUAGGGGACGAGCGUUGUCCGGAUUCAUUGGGCGUAAAGCGCGUGUAGGCGGCAGUGCAAGUCGGGUGUGAAAGCCCUCGGCUCAACCGAGGAAGUGCGCUCGAAACUGCAUUGCUUGAGUACCGGAGAGGAUGGCGGAAUUCCCGAAGUAGAGGUGAAAUUCGUAGAUAUCGGGAGGAACACCGGUGGCGAAGGCGGCCAUCUGGACGGAUACUGACGCUGAGACGCGAAAGCGUGGGUAGCAAACAGG